UCUCCGUUGGUGAACCAGCGGAGGGAUCAUUACCGAGUUUACAACCCCAAAACCCCAUGUGACCCUUACCAAACGUUGCUUCCUCGGGAUGCCCCGGUCGCGGGCCGCAAGGCUUCAGUCCCGGAACCAGGCGCCCGCCGGAGGGCGAAACCAAACUCUUGUUUUUGUAGAAACUUCUGAGUGGCCUUUAAGACAAAAAAUAAAUCAAAACUUUCAACAACGGAUCUCUUGGUUCUG
rnacentral:misc_RNA from 1 species